rnacentral:rRNA from 1 species
CGAAAGCCUGACGGAGCAAUACCGCGUGAGGGAGGAAGGCUCUUGGGUUGUAAACCUCUUUUCUCAGGGAAGAAAAAAAUGACGGUACCUGAGGAAUAAGCAUCGGCUAACUCCGUGCCAGCAGCCGCGGUAAGACGGAGGAUGCAAGCGUUAUCCGGAAUGAUUGGGCGUAAAGCGUCCGCAGGUGGCCUAUCAAGUCUGCUGUCAAAGAGCAAGGCUCAACCUUGUCAAGGCAGUGGAAACUGAGAGGCUAGAGAGUGGUAGGGGUAGAGGGAAUUCCCAGUGUAGCGGUGAAAUGCGUAGAGAUUGGGAAGAACACCGGUGGCGAAAGCGCUCUACUGGACCAUAACUGACACUGAGGGACGAAAGCUAGGGGAGCG